UACGAAGGGGGCUAGCGUUGUUCGGAAUCACUGGGCGUAAAGCGCACGUAGGCGGAUCUUUAAGUCAGGGGUGAAAUCCCGAGGCUCAACCUCGGAACUGCCUUUGAUACUGGGGAUCUCGAGUCCGGGAGAGGUGAGUGGAACUGCGAGUGUAGAGGUGAAAUUCGUAGAUAUUCGCAAGAACACCAGUGGCGAAGGCGGCUCACUGGCCCGGAACUGACGCCGAGGUGCGAAAGCGUGGGGAGCAAACAGG
rnacentral:rRNA from 1 species